UGGCAAGCCCCAGCCAAUCAAGGCCAGAAGUUUGCUCUUUGCCGCUCAUCGCAAGUGUUUUCAAGGAUAUGUGGAGGUAUUCUUCGCUGCACAUGGCUGCCAAUCAGGAACACGAGUUUGUUCUCGGCCACCAAGAGCAAGUAUUUUCAAGGUCUCCACCGACGAUUCAUCAGGACGAGACCCAACCGGGACACUAGGGAGGAGCGGC